GACAGAGGGUGCAAACGUUGUUCGGAAUUACUGGGCGUAAAGAGCGUGUAGGCGGCUCGGUAAGUCCGCUGUGAAAGUCCAGGGCUCAACCCUGGAAUGCCAGUGGAAACUGUCGAGCUAGAGUCCGGAAGAGGCGAGUGGAAUUCCUGGUGUAGCGGUGAAAUGCGCAGAUAUCAGGAGGAACACCAAUGGCGAAGGCAGCUCGCUGGGACGGUAUUGACGCUGAGACGCGAAAGCGUGGGGAGCAAACAGG
rnacentral:rRNA from 1 species